rnacentral:tRNA from 1 species
ACUUAGGUAGCUUAAAUUUUAAAGUAUAAUAUUGAAGAUAUUAAGAUAAGUGAUAACUUUCUAGGUA